rnacentral:rRNA from 1 species
AAUAGAUACCCGGUAGUCCAUGCCGUAAACGUUGGGCGCUAGGUGUGGGGCUCAUUCCACGAGUUCUGUGCCGCAGCUAACGCAUUAAGCGCCCCGCCUGGGGAGUACGGCCGCAAGGCUAAAACUCAAAGGAAUUGACGGGGGCCCGCACAAGCGGCGGAGCAUGCGGAUUAAUUCGAUGCAACGCGAAGAACCUUACCAAGGCUUGACAUACACCGGAAAAGUGCAGAGAUGUGCUCCCCGUAAGGUCGGUGUACAGGUGGUGCAUGGUUGUCGUCAGCUCGUGUCGUGAGAUGUUGGGUUAAGUCCCGCAACGAGCGCAACCCUCGUUCCAUGUUGCCAGUACGUGAUGGUGGGGACUCAUGGGAGACUGCCGGGGUCAACUCGGAGGAAGGUGGGGAUGACGUCAAAUCAUCAUGCCCCUUAUGUCUUGGGCUUCACGCAUGCUACAAUGGUCGGUACAGAGUGCUGCGAAACCGUGAGGUGGAGCGAAUCACUUAAAGCCGGUCUCAGUUCGGAUUGUAGG